GAUUAUCUGGUGGUUGGUUAAGAAGUCAAGGACAAUUACGGGACAAGAUUCUGGUUAUCUGAUGUCGUAACAGGAUGUUCCUUUAACGAUUUGUCCAUGUGCUUUCCCUCGUUCCGGCAAAUCUAUCUCAACGAGGUUGUAAUCAACGAUUAAUCAUUCGCUAAUUUUGCCGCUGAACCACGUCGUACUUAAGAGCGCGUUUAACGAGCGGAAAGAUAAGAUUCUUAUGUAAAUAUGUAGCGCAAGAACAGUGUUAUCGUGUCUCUUUAUUCAAGAGCUGGGAAAAAAGCAUGGCGGAUGCCUCGUUUCCGACGAUUUCUCGUUGCGCAACGCGAAACGGAAUCGAUCUAAUUUUAAACGAAAACAACGAAACCUUGAAUGCAUAAUUCCAACGUUCGGUUCUAUAGUGACUUGUAAGGUCUAUCGGUCUCUCAACCAAUACGUAAAAAAAUUCCUCGCUCGGAACGUGUCUGCGCCUUGGUCUACCAGCUGAAAUCACGAAACCUUCUUUUCCGUGAAAAAAGGCACGACAAUCUGGCGUCAAGGUAUCGCGUUCCUCUCGGCUACGUGAGUGGGCGAUGCAGGUAUACCGAUUAAUACUUGUUGGUCUUUUUCGCUUCCUCUCUCGUUAGAUCUUGGAAAAUCCUGACAAACUACUGAGAAACUUCUGAGAAAUUGCUGAGAAACUUGGAAGGUCUUUUCUCGAAAAACCUAUCGGCCAAAAGCGUUUUCUCAUGCGGGUUGACCUUUCUUGCAUCGCACCUCUCCCAUCGUCGGUCCAAUGAAGCUCAAUUAGUUAAUUAUUCGGAUAAACCCGGAUGAACGUGACGCAAUCUUUGAUAAGAGUUCAUGUGCCACUUACACGAACAUCAUUGACCCUGUUAGUUUCCGAUGAUCGCGUAUUUAAAUCGGCGCUAGUAUACAAGAUUUAAGGAUACUACACACGAAUGACCGAUAUGAUACGUACAUACGCAUAUCUUGACCCGUGUACACAGACGUAGCUGAUCAAUGUUUUUUUCCCCUUCGUUGCGUAUAGGUUAUUACAGUUCUAAGCAAAUAAACUCCGACUACUACAAACCAUUCUCAACGGUUUUCUCUCCCUGAAUUACGAAAUUGCACCUUUCGUGAGGUAUACGCAGUCUGGAAUUCGAGAAUUACAAAACACGCUCGUUAGCAUCAGGAAGAAGAAGAGAUGGACUUCGUCGAGCAACCUUAUCACGUCUUUUAUACGAUUUGUAUUAAUUCUACGCUUUCAGUUCCAUCACAUGCUAAGAAAAAAGGAAACACAAGGAAACGAUGAUCCUUGCAGCAUCUCGUAUAAAAAAAACGGAAGAAAAAACUAAGAACUUGGAAUAAUACAGUAGCAACGAGCAAGAAAUAUAUAGAACGGCUGCAUU